GCCGGGCACCGUCGUUGCUGCGGCGGUGGGAGGGUUCGGGCCAGCAUGGCCGCUGUCGGCGGGGAAGGGGCGUUGAGGGUGGACGGGAUGGUGGCUGUCAACGAAGAGGAGGAUGGGGAGGAGAACAUCUUGUACGACCUGCUGGUCAACGCCGAGUGGCCUCCGGAAACCGAGCUGCAGCCAAGAGGCAACAGAAAACACGGUGCAUCAUUUAUCAUCACUAGAGCAAUUACAGGUCCUGCAUUGCUUUUGCUUCGAUAUAUCUGGUACAGCCCUGCUAAAUUUUCUCUACCGUCUGGACUGGUUCGUCUAGUUAAUAAGCAGAUCAACUGGCACUUAGUGCUUGCAAGCAAUGGUAAACUGUUGGCAGUUGUGCAAGACCAGCGUGUAGAAAUCAGGUCUGCAAAAGAUGACUUUGGAUCCACUGUUGGAACCUGCCAAGUGCCAAAAGAUCCUAACCCUCAGUGGAGGCGAGUGGCAUGGAGCCAUGACUGUACAUUACUUGCUUAUGCUGAAAGCACUGGAACAGUGAGAGUGUUUGACCUAAUGGGUAGUGAGCUUUUGGUCAUUUCACCGACAGCAAGUUUUCCAGGAGAUCUGAGUUAUGCUAUUGCUGGAUUGAUCUUCCUAGAAUACAAAGCAAGUGCUCAAUGGUCAGCUGAACUACUUGUCAUUAAUUAUCGUGGAGAAUUGAGAAGUUACCUUGUAAGUGUUGGAACAAAUCAAAGCUUCCAAGAAAGUCAUAGUUUCAGCUUUAGUAGCCAUUAUGUCCAUGGAAUAACUACUGUCAUUUACCAUCCUGGUCACAGACUGUUGCUUGUAGGAGGUUGUGAAACAGAUGAAGAUGGAGUAUCUAAAGCAACUGCUUGUGGGAUAUCUGCUUGGAGAGUUCUAUCAGGAUCUCCCCAUUAUAAACAGGUUACUAGUUAUGAAGAUGAUAUUAGAACAGCACAGAGAAGAGGAUUAUUAAGGAUUAUGAAUUUAAGAUUUUACAGCAGACGGGGAACAGAACAGGAUGGAAUUUUCAAGAUGAAUCUUUCCCCUGAUGGAGCUCUUCUGGCAGCUAUUCAUUUCUCAGGAAAACUAACAAUCUGGUCUAUUCCAUCUCUCAGACAACAAGGAGAAUGGGACCAAACUGACCAGCCAGGUUAUGAUGAAGUCAACCCAGACUGGAGACUCUCCAGUGAAAAAAGAAAGAAAAUAAAAGAUAAAGAAUCCUAUUACCCAUUGAUAGAUGUAAAUUGGUGGGCAGAUAAUUCUGUGAUCCUGGCUCGCUGCUCUGGUGCAUUGACUGUGUCAUCAGUCAAGACAUUAAGAAACUUGCUGGGAAAGUCAUGUGAGUGGUUUGAGAGUUCUCCUCAGGUCACUUCAGCUCAUGAUGGAGGAUUUCUAAGUCUGGAGUGUGAAAUAAAACUAGUUCCAAAACGAUUACGCUUGGAGAGCAGGCCUGGUGAUGAAGAUGAGGGAGAGGAUGACUCUGACUCGGAUGAUGAAAAUUCUGCUAAGGAUAGAUACUUCAGCUACCUGAAGCAAGGCCUAUAUUUUGUGACGGAAAUGGAACGAUUUGCUCCUCCACGGAAACGUCCGCGUACUAUUACAAAGAAUUUCCGCCUUGUUAGCUUGAGGUCCACGACUCCAGAGGAACUUUACCAGAGAAAAAUUGAUAACGAAGAAUAUGAGGAAGCUCUGUCUUUGGCUCAAGCAUAUGGCCUUGAUUCUGAUCUUGUGUAUCAAAGGCAGUGGAGGAAGUCAGCUGUUAAUGUUGCUUCAAUUCAAGACUAUUUGAGCAAAAUUAAGAAGCGCGCUUGGGUUCUUCAUGAGUGUUUGGAAAGAGUUCCAGAGAAUGUGGAUGCUGCUAAGAAGUUGCUUCAGUAUGGCUUGAAAGGCACGGACCUGGAGGCUCUUGUGGCCAUAGGAAAAGGAGAAGAUGGUGGCAGAUUUAUCUUACCAGGAGAAGCAGAUGUUGGUAUUUCCUAUGAAAACUUUUUAUCACCAGAUGAAGAAACAGACACUAAAAAGGAAAAAGAGGCCAGGAAGCAUCAAGAACUGCUGUUAUCAUUAAACUUCUCAAAGCUAACGCUGGAACAAAAAGAACUGUGCAGAAGUAGGCUGAAGUUGUUAACUUAUCUUGAUCGCCUUGAAACUUACGAGGAAAUCCUUGGAGGUCCUCAUUCAGCUGAACAGCAUUACGAUGGUGAAUUCUUCAAGAAGUUCAGAAAUCAGAAUAUUGUGCUUUCAGCGAGAACUUAUGCUCGGGAAAGCAACGUCAGAGCCCUGGAAAUCUUGUUUACUUUCCAUGGAUCAGCUUUACUUCCACACAGACAGGCAAUUCUCUCCAAUUUUCCAGAGACUACUUCACCACAUGAAUAUGCUUUCUUGUUGCCUGAGGCCUGUUACAAGCAGGGAACACUGAAAAUUAUUCCUUGGAAUGAGCAAAAACAUCGUGAAGAAGACUGGUGUGAAAAAGCAGACUGCAGGACAAUUGUUGAACCAGCUUUACAAGAUGAAAGCGAAUUUCUGUAUGAAUUGCAACCUGAAUUACUGAAAUACAGGACUACUGAGCUUUCAGUAGAGCUUGUGACUGACUGGUAUUUGAGCAGAGCACAGGAAAUUGAAAAAUACGCUAUGCAGGUGGAUUGUGCUCUGUCCCUUGUUCGUCUUGGCAUGGAGAGGAAUAUCCCUGGUCUGCAGGUGCUCUGUGACAAUCUGAUCACUCUUGAGACAGUAGUAUAUGAGACUGAUGGUGAUCGAACUUUAACUUUGAAGGAACUGGUGGAAAUGAAAGACAUUGAAAAGCUUAGACUGUUGAUGAAAAAUUCCUCUGAGGAAAAAUACGUAAAGAAUGUUUAUCAGUGGAUGAUCCCUUUUCUUCACCGCUGUGAAAAUCAGUCUCCUGGUCUGGCAAAUUCACUUCUUAAAGAAUAUUUAGUGACAUUAGCAAAGGAAGACCUGAAUCUACCUCUGAAGAUUUUCCAGAAUUCAAAACCUGCUUGUCAGCAAAAAAUUAUUCCUGAACAAGACCAGCUUAUGAUUACAGCACUGGAAUGUAUUUAUAGUUGUGAACGAGAUGACCAGCUUGCUCUCUGUUAUGAUAUUUUGGAAUGCCUUCCACAAAGAGGUUAUGGGCCUGAAACAGUUAAAACUAGCAGUCUUCAUGAUGCAGUAGAUGAACUGGAACGAAUUCUGAGUGUGUCAGAGCUGUUGGAGAAGCAUGGGCUUCAGAAACCUGUUUCAUUUGUGAAAGACACAAAGGACAAUGCUGAGGAGGCACGGAAGCUGAUGAUUAGGCUGACAAGGCACACAGGUCGCAAGCAACCAUCUGUCAGUGAGAUGCAAUGGAAAGAAUUACUCCAGGAUAUGUUAGACAUGCAGCAGAAAGUAUAUACAUGCUUACAAUCAGAUACUUGCUAUGAGAUAUUCACAGAAAGUCUUUUGUGCUCAAGCAGUAUAGACAAUAUCCACUUAGCUGGACAAAUGAUGCAUUGCAGUAUUUGGUCAGUGGAUCAACCAGUUUCAUCUAAAGGGAAGCUGCAGUACAGAGUCAGUUAUGCGAGAAGUAUCGAACUAGUUCUGGCUGCUAGCAGAGAAUAUUUCAAUUCAUCAACCAGUCUGACUGAUAGCUGUAUGGAUUUGGCCAGAUGCUGUCUGCAGCUUAUUGUAGACUGUCCAAGUGCCAUUCAGGAGGAGCUAGAUCUUAUUCGUGCUCUUGGCUACCUUGAAGAAUUCGGUGUGAAAAUAUUACCAUUACAAGUGCGUUUAUGUUCAGAUCGACUUGGUCUCAUCAAGGACUGUCUUUCUCAGUUGCCAACAAACUAUAAGCAGUCUGCAAAGCUCCUGGGACUUGCAAAUUUGCUGAGGGUUGCAGGAGAUGACCAGAUGGAGAGAAAAGGUCAAGUUUUAAUCCUUUUAGUGGAGCAAGCUCUCAGCUUUCAGGACUACAAAGCAGCUAGUAUGCAUUGCCAAGAGCUCAUGACUGCAGGUUAUGCUAAAAGCUGGGAAGUAUGCAGUCAGCUUGGGCAAUCAGAAGGCUACCAUGACUUAGGCAUGCGUCAGGAACUCAUGGCUUUUGCUUUGACACACUGUCCCCCAAGUGCUAUAGAGGCGUUGUUGGGAGUAAGCAGUUCAUUGCAAACCCAGAUUCUCUAUCAGGCUGUGAAUUACCAGUUGCUUCCUUCAGAAGGAGGUGAGAGUGUGAAUACCUCAGGACCUUCCUCACUGAUGAGUAAGGAUACAGAGGAUGAUACCAACAUCUCCGCUAGCCCAUCUGCUGAUUUGUUGUACUGGACAACAACAAAAACCAUGAAGGUGUUGUCUAACACAACUAUGACUACAAAAGCUAUGCUGCAUGCUGUCAGUGAUGGUCAGUGGUGGAAGAGAUCACUAACUUACCUUCGACCGUUACAUGGGCAAGAACUUGGAGAUGUAUUAAAAAGUGGGCUGGGAGAAAAUGUCACUGUGGAAAAACAAGGCUGUCAUCCAUUUUAUGAGUCUCUAAUUGCUGACCCGUAUGUUGCAGAAUCUGAAAUCAGCUAUGGCACGUACCAGAACAAUUCUUUGGAAAGUUUUGCAGAAGUAUUGCUGAGGACAGAGAAACUGACAGAAACGAAGAGUGAAGCAAAAGACCUGCUUCCAACUACAGAAGUUCUGUUACAACUGGCAAGUGAUGCUUUACCAAAUGAUAUGGCCUUGGCUCUUGCGUAUCUACUUGCACUGCCACAGGUGAUAGAUGCCAACAAAUGCUUUGAAAAGCAAUUGCAUUCUGCGGUAUCUCUCCAGCUGGCAAGUUAUUACUAUAGCCUGCAGAUCUAUGCUCGUUUGGUGCCAUGCUUCAAGGAGAAGUGCCACCCUCUCUACAGGGCUGAUCCAAAAGAGUUGAUUAAGUUGGUCACACAGCAUGUUACUCAGUAUGCCUAUACAGACUGGCCUGAAGAAAUUGCAACUUUGGUAAAUCAGUUGCAUUACUACAAUGAACGACUACUGGAUUUCACACAAGCUCAGAUUCUGCAAGGACUUGGCAAAGGAGUAGAUGUGCAGAGGUUUACAGCAGAUGGACAGUACAAGAGAGAAACAAUACUAGGAUUGGCAGAAACACUUGAAGAAAACGUUUACAAGAUUGCUGUUUCUUUGGCUCAGAGAUACAGUAUUCCACUUUGGGAAGUUUAUAUGAUCCAUCUGGAGUUUUUAUUCACGGACAGUGGGUUAUCCACACUGGAAAUAGAAGAAAGAGCGCAAGGUCUUGGUCUUUUUGAGACUUUGAAAACAAGUCCUGAAACCUUAUAUGAACACAUGGUUAAAUAUGUUUACCCAAGUAUUGAAGGUAGAGAUCACCCGCGGUUGCUUUAUUAUUUCACACUCCUUGAAAAUUGUGGCUGUUCAGAAGUUGUGAAGCAUGCUGUGAAGCCUGAAACUCACAUCAGACUCCUGAAAAAGUUCAAAGCAGUUGCACCAGGUCUUAAUUACAAAAAGCUAAUGGAUGAAAAUGAAAACCCUUUGGAAACACUGGAGCCUACACUUACAAGUCAAAAUAUUUUAUCUAUUUCCAAACUGGCUCCCAAAAUCCCUAAAAAAGAUGGCGGUGUGCUAUCACCAAGCUCUCUUUAUGCCGUUUGGUUACAUAAUCUUUUUUGGAAUGGUGAUCACCAUCUCAUUAAAAAAAUACCAGAAACCAUGGAUGAAUGGCUACAUGCAUAUGAUGUGUGUUCAAAGUACUUAGAUAGACUUGAUCCGGAUGAUAUAAUCACUUUUAUUGAUAAAAUAACCUUUUCUUCAAAAGCUGUCACAAAGCUGCCUGUUGAAGCUAGGAUAGAAGUGACUAAGAAGGCUGUUAAGGCAGUCAAACAUCUUUCUGAGAAAUCAAGAAGAAAGCCUUCUGAGAAUGACAUGGAAGAUGCUAAAAAUCCAGCUGUUGCAUAUGAAAAAACUCUGAAUCACUUGCAGCAAUCCCUUGCUCAUCUGGAAACACUCACUCAUAGUUUUAUCACUUACUUGAAAAACAGCGAACAGGACGUGCUACAGAAGUAUGGUUAUUUAUAUGAUCUGUCAAGGUCAGAGAGAGACCAAAUCCAUGAGCAAGCAGUAACUAUGUGUAUAGAUGGUCAGCCCCUGGACAUGAUACAACAGUUGAUAGAAGUGGCUGUUGGAGAUCUUUGUCUUUCUCCCAAAGAUAUUGUCCAAUGUGCUAUUAAAAAAAUUGUAUGUAUGCUAAGUGGAAAUGAUGGUUCUACAUCAGUUAGAGAUCCACUUGGUAUCCUAGAAGGCAUCGUUUCUGCAGUACAUGCCAGUGUUGAAAAAGGGGAGAAAGUAGUUUCUUCAGAUGAUCUCCUGGAGUGGCUGAGACCUUUCUGCGGUGAUGACACUCUACCAGUGAAGCCUCGCAUCAAAGUACUGCAGAUUUUGGAACAAGCCUUCCACCUCAGUGAUGAGGACAGCAAACUGCUUGUGUACUUCAGGACACAAGCUGUUCUCAGAGCUUGCUGGCCUGAAACAAAGACUGUUCUACCCAUGCUUUCUUGGCAUUUCUUGCAUGUUUCUAGACGGUCCUCUUUUCCUCAACCAUUCCCUGGUACAAAAAGGGAUACUAAGUAUUGUAAAGGAUGAAUGUGGAUUCCUAUUGAGUAAAGAUAAGUAAAAUGAUAUUGCGGUGUUCAAUUACCAGAAAAUGUGUGAAAGCCACCCUCAGAGUGUCUACUAAUCCUCUUAGUCAGGCUUCGCAUACAUCAAAGAAGGCCUUAAUAUUUAAUUAUGCUCUAGGUGCUCUAAGUAGUGGUGCCACAAAUCAAUGUGCUUCUGGGAAACAGGCCAGCUCUUACAAAAUUAAAAAUGUACUUCAUGGAAGCAGCUACCUAUCAAACAGUCAGAAACACAGCAAUUUCCAGUUCUCUAAUGAUAAGUUAACAAAAUUAAAAAUUCAGUGGUCCUCAUUUUUCAAAGGCUUGAGAGUCUUUAAUUCACAUUCCAGUAGCAACCCACCCUCCUGGAGGGAGGAGGCAUGCGUUGUUUUAAUCCUCUUGAUGAAUUUUAUCUGAGCUCUUCAGGUUCUGUAAUUUUCUAGUUAACUGACGCAUGAAAAAUAUGGGUCAGAAUUCUGACUUUUUCAUAUGUUAGGAAAAAAAUGUUGGGGGGAGAAACGUGGUUUAAGAUGUUUACAUCAAAGUUUAGCUUUAUCCAUCUAAGAUGAGAAAUUAUUUAUAUUCCUAUAAUAAUGACUUGCAGCGAGGUAAAAUAACGACAAGUGCUGUGUGUGUACUUAGUCAUUUGGUGCAGUGACCAGUUAGGGAGAAUAAGUUACAGUUACAAGAGGUAGAGCUUUUCCCCAGGAAGUUGAUGGCAUUAGCAAACGCUCCUUAGGUAAAGCAAAGUGUUAGUUUAAGACAAGAAGUUAACAAGAGGGAAGCUUCUAUAAGGCACACCUUGUCUUUAAAGGAUUGUUUAAUUAUUAUGCAAAUUGAAAAUGUAAUUACUGUUUGCAUGCUACUUAAAUGCAAAUAGCUUUGUCAUUUAGCGAAGGUAAUCUCAUUUAGCCUUACCUUUCAUAUUAUUAUAUUACUGGCAUUUUUUUUCCAUGAUCUUGCAGGCUUGGAGAGCUACUGAGGACUAGGUGUUUUUAGAAAUUGGAAACUAUUUAGGAUACAAAUUUGCGAUAGUAAUUUUAGGACUCUUAUCUCUUAUUUUUAAAAUGUAGCUUUGGAAAAUUACUAGAUUAAUUUGUAUUUCAUGUGUACAUUCCCAAUCCUACCUUUGCCAUUUACUGAUAUAGGCAAUUUACGUAUGUUAGAUACAGUUUUUCUCAGCAACCUUUCUAAUGUCUGCAUUAACAUAAUGACUUCCUGAGAACGAGUAUAUGGCUGUCAAAUUUCCUUUGUUUUUUUCUUGCUCUCUUCUCUAGUAUAUGAAAAAUACGCAUCUGUUUACAUGGAACUGCAUGACUUCAUAGAGAAAAAUUUCAAUAGAAGUAGUGGAUUUUCAACACUUACCCAUUGCGCAUGUACUUGCGUCAACUACAUUUGAACACAAGUAUACGGAAAGCAGCCUGAGAUCAAGAAAAUAUAAUGGG